rnacentral:tRNA from 1 species
GAUGUUGCUGGACGGGUGCGUCCGCCGCUUCCUGCGCGGUGGAGAGAGCGCGGACCUGCGGUUCUUCGUCCGCCUCCACCG